CCGGGUCCUUCCCGCCGAGCCUCCGCCAGGCUCGGGACCUAGGAGCUGGGGAGCUACCCCGCGGCGGUAUAGGCCCUGAGCAGCUCCCUCAGAUCACCCUUCAGGUCACUUCUUCAGAAAUGACUUCCCAGCCAUCCGUCUAAAGUAGAUUGGUUAAUGCUGCCUUGAGAAAAUGUGGACUCAAUCUUGGAAUUGAGUUCCAUUAACUUACCAUUCACCAAACUGUACAGCUUUCAAAACCCCAACAGCAGCCGUACUCUGCCAGUCAAACCCCUGACCUACAUGAUCAGCAUGAGCUCUUGUCCUAUCUUCAAAGAGGACUUCCCGGGGUUCACUGGUCCGAGGCUAUAGAAAUGAUGUUAGACAAAAAGCACACUUGAGCAAUUUUCUUAUUCGAGUUCAAAAAGAGUCGUAAAGCAGCGGAGACAACUCGCAACAUUAACAACACAGGUGGCCCAGGAACUACAAACGAACAUACAGUGCAGUGGUAGUUCAAGGGGUUUUUGCAAAGAUGAGAGCCUUGAAGAUGAGAAGCACUGUGGCCGGCCAUUUGAAGGUGAUAGCAACCAACUGAAAGAAUCAUCAGAGCUGAUCCUCGCACAAGAAGUUGCCGAAGAACUCAACCUCGACCAUUCUGUGGUUGUUUGGCAUUUGAAGCAAGUUGGAAAGAUGAAAAAGCCCACUAAGUGGAUGCCUCAUGAGUUAACUGCAUAUCAAAAAUAGUGUCCUUUUUGAAGUGUCAUCUUCUCUUAUUCUACAUAACAAUGAACCAUUUCUUGAUUGGACUGUGAUGUGUGAUGAAAAGCGGAUUUUACACAACUGGUGACAAUCAGCUCACUGUUGGACUGAGAAGAAGCUCCAUUCACUUCCCAAAGCCAAACUUGCACCAAAAAAAGGUGAUGGUCAUUGGUGGUCUGCUGUCGGUCUGAUCCACUACAGCUUUUUGAAUCCUAGCGAAAUCAUUACUUCUGAAAAGUAUGCUCAGCAAAUCGAUGAGAUGCACGGAAAACUGCAAUGCAAGCAGCUGGCAUUGGUCAACAGAAAGGGCCCAAUUCUUCUCUACGACAAUGCCUGACUGCCCAUCUCACAACCAACACUUCAAAAAUUGAAUGAAUUAGGCUAUCGAAGUUUUGCCUCAUCUGCCAUAUUUACCUGACCUCUUGCCAACCAACUACCACUUCUUCAAGCAUCCUGACAACUUUUUGCAGGGAAAAUGCUUCCACAACCAGCAUGAGGCAGAAAAUGCUUUCCAAGUGUUUGCUGAUCCCAAAGCAUGGACUUUUAUGCUACAGAAAUAAACAAACAUAUUUCUCGUU